UACGGAGGAUCCAAGCGUUAUCCGGAAUUACUGGGCGUAAAGAGUUGCGUAGGUGGCACUGUAAGUCGGUAGUGAAAGCGUGGGGCUCAACCCCAUAUACAUUAUCGAAACUGCAGAGCUAGAGGACGAGAGAGGCAUCUGGAAUUCCUAGUGUAGGAGUGAAAUCCGUAGAUAUUAGGAGGAACACCGAUGGCGUAGGCAGGGUGCUGGCUCGUUCCUGACACUAAGGCACGAAAGCGUGGGGAGCAAACGGGG
rnacentral:rRNA from 1 species